rnacentral:rRNA from 1 species
AUGAACGCUGGCGGCGUGCCUAAUACAUGCAAGUCGAGCGCACAGAUGAGGAGCUUGCUCCUCUGACGUUAGCGGCGGACGGGUGAGUAACACGUGGAUAACCUACCUAUAAGACUGGGAUAACUUCGGGAAACCGGAGCUAAUACCGAAUAAUAUAUUGAACCGCAUGGUUCAAUAGUGAAAGACGGUUUUGCUGUCACUUAUAGAUGGAUCCGCGCCGCAUUAGCUAGUUGGUAAGGUAACGGCUUACCAAGGCAACGAUGCGUAGCCGACCUGAGAGGGUGAUCGGCCGCACUGGAACUGAGACACGGUCCAGACUCCUACGGGAGGCAGCAGUAGGGAAUCUUCCGCAAUGGGCGAAAGCCUGACGGAGCAACGCCGCGUGAGUGAUGAAGGUCUUCGGAUCGUAAAACUCUGUUAUUAGGGAAGAACAAAUGUGUAAGUAACUAUGCACGUCUUGACGGUACCUAAUCAGAAAGCCACGGCUAACUACGUG